rnacentral:rRNA from 1 species
UACGUAGGGUCCGAGCGUUGUCCGGAAUUACUGGGCGUAAAGAGCUCGUAGGUGGUUUGUCGCGUUGUUCGUGAAAACUCACAGCUCAACUGUGGGCGUGCGGGCGAUACGGGCAGACUUGAGUACUGCAGGGGAGACUGGAAUUCCUGGUGUAGCGGUGGAAUGCGCAGAUAUCAGGAGGAACACCGGUGGCGAAGGCGGGUCUCUGGGCAGUAACUGAUGCUGAGGAGCGAAAGCGUGGGGAGCGAACAGG